rnacentral:lncRNA from 1 species
CGGCAGGUGGCGCUCUCUGACAUCAGUUGACUGAGGCAGCUCAUGGAAUUAAGAGAACUGUUCAUGCAAGUAAGCCGGAGCUGGUGUGGAAGGUGAGGAGCCAAGCCUGAAAUUGCUUCAUCUGCCAAAGUCAGUACUGGUCUGGCUACUGACUUCAUGCUUCUCCCACCACAUCACAGCACAUUAUGCCACCAGUCUCCAAGGUCCACUCACCUCUGUAGCUCUCCCUGCAUUUGUCCAAGCUGUUUGUUCCCUCUGCCUAGAAUGUACUUCCCCAACUUAUGCUUGUUGAAGUUCAUCAUUAAAGAUCCAG